AAUGAAAUGUAGGCGGCGCUGAUCGAUCAAUGGCAAUGACAUUGUCAGCGUUUACAAUACAGGGCGCUUCCUAUGUACUCUUCCAAAACACGCGCGACAUGUUAUGGUGGAGGGAACGUUAGAAACCCCACUCUACUUCAACACCGUGACACAAUACACUAUAUAAUAAAGGGAACGUUGGAAACCAAACUCCCCUUCUUUGUGGUCUUGACUCACGAAUCUUGCUCAUCGUUUCCAAGGUCUUGUACUUUUCCCGUCAGAUCGAGCUGAAAUUUCGUAAGAUAUGUAAUAAGGUCUUUUUGUCUCAAUACUCGCAACAUUUUUUUAUUUUUAAUCUUUCUUCGCUUUUCUGUUUUUUAAUCACUAAAUAGAUUUAGUUGAAGGGUUUCCACUUUUGCACACUUUGAUUGUUUUUAGAUUAUACACUUUUUCUCUCCAUUUAUAUCGCAUUGGCACAUUAUGGUGGGUGAUGAUGACAUUAGGCGGCGCUGAACGAUCGGUGGCUAUGACAUUGACAGCGUUUACGAUACAGGGCGCCAUCUAUAAACGCUUCCAAAAUACACUUGACACGUUAUGGUGGAGUGAACAUUAGAAAGCCCACUCCACGUCAACACUGUGACACAAUACUCUGUAUAGGAAAGCACGUUGGAAACAACACGUUACUUACUUAAUAACAACAAACUUAACAUAUUUAAGAGCUGAGGGAACCUUAGAAACCUUUCUCAACUCUAACGACGUAAAACAAUACUCGUGAAAGUAAAGGAAACUUUAUAAACACCUCUUUACUUACAAGAGAACACACAACCUCCAUAGAUGUUAGAGUUAAGGGAACGUUAAAAACCCCACACAAUUCGAUCGCUUACACAAUACUCUUAGAAAUAAAGGGAACGAGGGAAACCCCUCUUUACUUACGAGAAAACACAAACACUUCACGAAUGUUAGAAUUAGGGGAACGUUACAAACCCCACUUAACUCUAACUACAAACAGCCUAUUCCACGAUAUGGAAAGAACAUUUCCGUUCCACAAAAAUGCAUCAGAACGAAAAAUUGUACGAAAAUCAAACCGAACGAAAACGUAAGCAUUUUAGUGCAAUUUUGUGUCCACUAUCUUUUUACGCAUGCACGCGAAUGCAAAUGUCAAAAUCAGCCACUUGUGUGUUUGCUGUCGUAUGAUUACAAUUCAAGAUUUUUUUUCAACAUAAAUAUUGCUUGAUUGAAAAUGGAAACAAAAAGCACGAAAAUAUCAUCAACUGUACAGCUGCGGGCACUAGUUGAAUAUAUGUAGGAGAAUCCUGCUAUCGCCAGAGGGGUGCCAACUUUUGGAAGCAACAAGCAAUCCCUUGAAGACCACUGAAAAAAAUUAUGUUUCAAAUUAUAUACCAUGGGUUCUCCUCCUCGCACAAUUGAAGAGUGGAAAAAGUUCCGCACAAAAAAGAAAAUACCUGAAAACAAAAAAGGGUUGCAAGGAUAAGGUGGCGGUUUAUACCAAUUUGAGUGUUUGACGGAGCUAGAAACGAAAUUGACCGGACACUUUUCUUAUCGAAGUCAGCGGCACCAAGCGGUAAGACUUUUGGCUAUGCAGACGACAUCGACUACUGCUUUGUGGCAUUGGUUACAACACCAUCAGGACGUUCCAAGACCGUAGCAGUUAAGUGAAAUAAGUUUUCACCAUUUAUCGCCAGAAACACAUGUCCAACAACAGUAUCAAAUAAACGUACAAACCUGCACCAUCACAACUAAACAAUACCAAUCAUAGUUAAUAGAUGAAACAAAUUUUUAAUUAUACAUUUUUAUUUUAAUUAAAAAUCAGUAAAUUUUACAAAUUUAUUGCAAUUUUUAUUUAUUCGAAGCAUCUUUUAAAUGCCUCCAUGGUACAUUUUGAACCUC